UACGGAGGGUGCUAGCGUUGUUCGGAAUUACUGGGCGUAAAGCGUGCGCAGGCGGUUAUGUAAGACAGAUGUGAAAUGCCCGGGCUUAACCUGGGAACUGCAUUUGUGACUGCAUGGCUAGAGUGUGUCAGAGGGGGGUAGAAUUCCACGUGUAGCAGUGAAAUGCGUAGAUAUGUGGAGGAAUACCGAUGGCGAAGGCAGCCCCCUGGGAUAACACUGACGCUCAUGCACGAAAGCGUGGGGAGCAAACAGG
rnacentral:rRNA from 1 species